UUGCUGUGAAAUAAACUGAAGUGGUGAGAAUAUAAAGAGAUAAACCUGGAAUCAGACCAGAGGUGCUGUUGUUUUCUCCUAAAAUUUGAACCCAACUUUCAUAACCCAGGGUAACCUGAAUCUUCAGUAUGAAGUGAUACACGAUGUUGCCAUAUAUAGAGUACAUAAAUUUAGAAAUGCAUUUCUAUAUUAUCAUCAUAUUAUUUUUAAAGUAAGAAGGCUUCCAAAUCCAGUGUUUAAAAGAGGAGCAAAAACUGGCUGCAGCUGAGGAGCAUGCUCAGGUUUGCUGGCUUCUACUGCUGAAGACUCAUUAAGUGCAGUGUUGUAGCGGGUGCACCACCAAGAACCAUGUUUCUGGCACGUUGAUACUUCACUCAAGGAAGUGGAAAGUGCACAGACAAUCUCCUGGGGAAGCAACAUGAUAGCACUCUUCUCCACUCAAGGAUGCUCUGAGAGAGAAUGUGGCCAUGGCAACAGCACAGGGAUGGGGCCGGCCUCCUAGGAAAUACAGAGAACUCCCUUUGCCAAAUAGCGCAUAUGUCACAGAUGGUGGUAGCAUGGGCGACCCAAGAAUGCUUUCUGCCAGCAGCAAGUGUGUUUCCACACAUUCACCCAAGCCCACUCCAUGGAGUUACAUCUGGCAGCGUUUUAAAGAAACAGGAAGAUUCUCUCUCAAUACUACCUUGAAGUACAGAGGUGAAGAAGUGAGAGCAGGGCCAACGUAAGGCAGGGAUGGUAGUGUCAGUGUUUCUGAAUGGAGCCUCAGAUCUCCCCAGGAUUCCCAAGAUUACAUCACUGCUCUUACAAAUAAACAUUGUUGAUGAAGAAAUUCCACUUAAUUGAAGCAAUUGAAACACCUGGAUUAGGAGCACAGAUUUCAGAUACUCCCUUCCAGACUCCUUAUGGAUAAGGAAACUCAACGGGUGGAUAUGCAGGAAGAGUGGACUACUGAAGGCCCAUAUGCCUUAUAUUUGCAUAUGCUGAGGCAUCUGUGAAGAUCAUGUAUUUGAAGUCAAGGAGAUACGACACCGAGACUGUGUAUUUGUGUUCACCAUUCCCGUAUGAAAGGAGUGCUAGAGAAGUGAUACUACCAGUGUCCAUAUGGUACUUUAGACUGGCAGCCAGCACUGAAGUAGCCUCAGGUGAAAUAUUGCAAGUGAAGUCAUGUGGAUAAUUAUUAUAAACACUCUGAUACAAGGAUUUAUGCUGACCACAUUUAUGCUGACAACAAUAUCAAACUAACAAGUUGUGGAAGCUGCUCCUAUGGCACCAAGAACUGAAUUGAAGAGCCAUAACAAAUAAAUAAAUAAAUAGAUAAAAAUCCUGUGA